UACAGAGGUGGCAAGCGUUGUUCGGAAUUACUGGGCGUAAAGGGCGCGUAGGCGGUUUCGUAAGUCCCGUGUGAAAGCCCCCGGCUCAACUGGGGAACGGCACGGGAAACUGCGAGGCUUGAGUUCGGGAGAGGGAAGCGGAAUUCCGGGUGUAGCGGUGAAAUGCGUAGAUAUCCGGAGGAACACCAGUGGCGAAGGCGGCUUCCUGGACCGAUACUGACGCUGAGGCGCGAAAGCUAGGGGAGCAAACGGG
rnacentral:rRNA from 1 species